AGAGUUUGAUCCUGGCUCAGGAUGAACGCCAGCGGCAGGCCUAUACAUGCAAGCCGAACGGUGAUAGCAAUAUCAUAGUGGCGCACGGGUGCGUAACACGUAUGCAACCUACCUUAUACUGAGGGAUAGCCUUUCGAAAGGGAGAUUAAUACCUCAUAACACAUUGAACUGGCAUCAGUUUAUUGUUAAAGAUUUAUUGGUAUAAGAUGGGCAUGCGUCCAAUUAGUUAGUUGGCGAGGUAACGGCUCACCAAGACGAUGAUUGGUAGGGGAACUGAGAGGUUAAUCCCCCACACUGGCACUGAGAUACGGGCCAGACUCCUACGGGAGGCAGCAGUAGAGAAUAUUGGGCAAUGGAGGCAACUCUGACCCAGCCAUGCCGCGUGCAGGAAGAAGGCGUUAUGCGUUGUAAACUGCUUUUAUAUAGGAAGAAAUAGACCUUGCGAGGUAAGUUGACGGUACUAUAUGAAUAAGCACCGGCUAACUCCGUGCCAGCAGCCGCGGUAAUACGGAGGGUGCAAGCGUUGUCCGGAUUUAUUGGGUUUAAAGGGUGCGUACGCGGUUUAUUAAGUCAGUGGUGAAAGACGGUCGCUCAACGAUUGCAGUGCCAUUGAUACUGGUAGACUUGAGUGGGAU
rnacentral:rRNA from 1 species